rfam:Oryzias latipes DNA, scaffold7339, strain: Hd-rR.
CCGAUAUGGUCUUUCUGGGGGAGACCAGGUCGUCUAAGGACGGGUGAACCAGCCCAGGCCGGAAACGGAGCAGGUCAAAGCCCGCGUGCCGCUCAGCAGUGGGAUCACACCUGAGAGUAGACGCUGUAGCACAGCCUGAGGAAACAUCCAGACCCAGCCUUUU